rnacentral:rRNA from 1 species
GGUGAGUAACGCGUGGGGAACCUACCCUUGAGUGGGGGAUAACGCUCCUAACGGGGCGCUAAUACCGCAUAACACCGGAGGCAGGCAUCUGCUUCCGGUCGAAGAUGGCCUCUGAAUGUAAGCUGUCGCUCAAGGAUGGCCCCGCGUCCGAUUAGCUUGUUGGUGGGGUAACGGCCCACCAAGGCGACGAUCGGUAGCCGGCCUGAGAGGGUGUCCGGCCACACUGGGACUGAGAUACGGCCCAGACUCCUACGGGAGGCAGCAGUCGAGAGGCUUCCACAAUGGGGGAAACCCUGAUGGAGCGACGCCGCGUGGGUGAGGAAGGUCUUCGGAUCGUAAAACCCUGUCAGGAGGGAAGAAAACCGGAUUGGUCAAUAACCUUUCCGCUUGACGGUACCUCCAGAGGAAGCUCCGGCUAACUCCGUGCCAUCAGCCGCGGUAACACGGAGGGAGCAAACGUUGUUCGGAAUCACUGACCGUAAAGGGCGCGUAGGCUGCUUCUUGAGUCGAGUGUGACAACCUAUGGCUUAACCAUAGGCCUGACACCGAAACUGAGGAGCUUGAGGCCGUAAGAGGAAAGCGGAAUUCCUGUUGUAUCGUUGAAAUGAGUUGAUAUCAGGGAGGAACACCGCUGGCGAAGGCGGCUUUCUGGUGCGGUUCUGACGCUGAGGUGCGAAAGCUACGGUAGCAUGGGGGAUUAGAGACCCCGGUAGUCCUAGAUGUAAACCAUGUGCACUUGUGGUUCGAUAGCUUACACUCCAUCAGCUGUCGUAGCUCACGCGAUAAGUUCACCCGCCUGGUGACUACCGGCCGCUAGGCUUC